rnacentral:rRNA from 1 species
CAUGACCCCAGAUCAGACGGGACCACCCGCUGAGUU